GAGUUUGAUCGUGGCUCAGAUUGAACGCUGGCGGCAUGCCUUACACAUGCAAGUCGAACGGCAGCACGGGAGCUUGCUCCUGGUGGCGAGUGGCGAACGGGUGAGUAAUGCAUCGGAACGUAUCCUGGAGUGGGGGAUAACGUAGCGAAAGUUACGCUAAUACCGCAUAUUCUGUGAGCAGGAAAGCGGGGGGACCUUCGGGGCCUCGCGCUCUUGGAGCGGCCGAUGUCGGAUUAGCUAGUUGGUGAGGUAAAGGCUCACCAAGGCGACGAUCCGUAGCAGGUCUGAGAGGAUGAUCUGCCACACUGGAACUGAGACACGGUCCAGACUCCUACGGGAGGCAGCAGUGGGGAAUUUUGGACAAUGGGGGCAACCCUGAUCCAGCCAUGCCGCGUGAGUGAAGAAGGCCU
rnacentral:rRNA from 1 species